rnacentral:misc_RNA from 1 species
GGAUACUGUAAGUUUGGAUUGAUGAAAGAUGCAGUUGCUUGCAUCAGUAGAAUGAAAAAGUCAAAAAUAUCUCCAGAUGCCUUUACUUAUUCAACAGUAAUUGAUGGGUAUGUAAAGCAAAAUGAUUUGCGCCGAGCAUUAAUGAUACUCCCUCACAUGGUAAAGCGCAACUGUAUGCCAAAUGUGGUAACAUACAGCUCUCUAAUUUAUGGAUUUUGUCAGAAUGGAGAUCUAAUGAGA